UUAAGCGACUAAGCGUACACGGUGGAUGCCCUGGCAGUCAGAGGCGAUGAAGGACGUGCUAAUCUGCGAUAAGCGUCGGUAAGGUGAUAUGAACCGUUAUAACCGGCGAUUUCCGAAUGGGGAAACCCAGUGUGUUUCGACACACUAUCAUUAACUGAAUCCAUAGGUUAAUGAGGCGAACCGGGGGAACUGAAACAUCUAAGUACCCCGAGGAAAAGAAAUCAACCGAGAUUCCCCCAGUAGCGGCGAGCGAACGGGGAGCAGCCCAGAGCCUGAAUCAGUGUGUGUGUUAGUGGAAGCGUCUGGAAAGGCGCGCGAUACAGGGUGACAGCCCCGUACACAAAAAUGCACAUACUGUGAGCUCGAUGAGUAGGGCGGGACACGUGGUAUCCUGUCUGAAUAUGGGGGGACCAUCCUCCAAGGCUAAAUACUCCUGACUGACCGAUAGUGAACCAGUACCGUGAGGGAAAGGCGAAAAGAACCCCGGCGAGGGGAGUGAAAAAGAACCUGAAACCGUGUACGUACAAGCAGUGGGAGCACAGUUUUAUGGGGUGACUGCGUACCUUUUGUAUAAUGGGUCAGCGACUUAUAUUCUGUAGCAAGGUUAACCGAAUAGGGGAGCCGAAGGGAAACCGAGUCUUAACCGGGCGUUAAGUUGCAGGGUAUAGACCCGAAACCCGGUGAUCUAGCCAUGGGCAGGUUGAAGGUUGGGUAACACUAACUGGAGGACCGAACCGACUAAUGUUGAAAAAUUAGCGGAUGACUUGUGGCUGGGGGUGAAAGGCCAAUCAAACCGGGAGAUAGCUGGUUCUCCCCGAAAGCUAUUUAGGUAGCGCCUCGUGAAUUCAUCUCCGGGGGUAGAGCACUGUUUCGGCAAGGGGGUCAUCCCGACUUACCAACCCGAUGCAAACUGCGAAUACCGGAGAAUGUUAUCACGGGAGACACACGGCGGGUGCUAACGUCCGUCGUGAAGAGGGAAACAACCCAGACCGCCAGCUAAGGUCCCAAAGUCAUGGUUAAGUGGGAAACGAUGUGGGAAGGCCCAGACAGCCAGGAUGUUGGCUUAGAAGCAGCCAUCAUUUAAAGAAAGCGUAAUAGCUCACUGGUCGAGUCGGCCUGCGCGGAAGAUGUAACGGGGCUAAACCAUGCACCGAAGCUGCGGCAGCGACACUGUGUGUUGUUGGGUAGGGGAGCGUUCUGUAAGCCUGUGAAGGUGUACUGUAAGGUAUGCUGGAGGUAUCAGAAGUGCGAAUGCUGACAUAAGUAACGAUAAAGCGGGUGAAAAGCCCGCUCGCCGGAAGACCAAGGGUUCCUGUCCAACGUUAAUCGGGGCAGGGUGAGUCGACCCCUAAGGCGAGGCCGAAAGGCGUAGUCGAUGGGAAGCAGGUUAAUAUUCCUGUACUUGGUGUUACUGCGAAGGGGGGACGGAGAAGGCUAUGUUGGCCGGGCGACGGUUGUCCCGGUUUAAGCGUGUAGGCUGGUUUUCCAGGCAAAUCCGGAAAAUCAAGGCUGAGGCGUGAUGACGAGGCACUACGGUGCUGAAGCAACAAAUGCCCUGCUUCCAGGAAAAGCCUCUAAGCAUCAGGUAACAUCAAAUCGUACCCCAAACCGACACAGGUGGUCAGGUAGAGAAUACCAAGGCGCUUGAGAGAACUCGGGUGAAGGAACUAGGCAAAAUGGUGCCGUAACUUCGGGAGAAGGCACGCUGAUAUGUAGGUGAAGUCCCUCGCGGAUGGAGCUGAAAUCAGUCGAAGAUACCAGCUGGCUGCAACUGUUUAUUAAAAACACAGCACUGUGCAAACACGAAAGUGGACGUAUACGGUGUGACGCCUGCCCGGUGCCGGAAGGUUAUUGAUGGGGUCAGCGCAAGCGAAGCUCUUGAUCGAAGCCCCGGUAAACGGCGGCCGUAACUAUAACGGUCCUAAGGUAGCGAAAUUCCUUGUCGGGUAAGUUCCGACCUGCACGAAUGGCGUAAUGAUGGCCAGGCUGUCUCCACCCGAGACUCAGUGAAAUUGAACUCGCUGUGAAGAUGCAGUGUACCCGCGGCAAGACGGAAAGACCCCGUGAACCUUUACUAUAGCUUGACACUGAACAUUGAGCCUUGAUGUGUAGGAUAGGUGGGAGGCUUUGAAGUGUGGACGCCAGUCUGCAUGGAGCCGACCUUGAAAUACCACCCUUUAAUGUUUGAUGUUCUAACGUGGACCCGUGAUCCGGGUUGCGGACAGUGUCUGGUGGGUAGUUUGACUGGGGCGGUCUCCUCCUAAAGAGUAACGGAGGAGCACGAAGGUUGGCUAAUCCUGGUCGGACAUCAGGAGGUUAGUGCAAUGGCAUAAGCCAGCUUGACUGCGAGCGUGACGGCGCGAGCAGGUGCGAAAGCAGGUCAUAGUGAUCCGGUGGUUCUGAAUGGAAGGGCCAUCGCUCAACGGAUAAAAGGUACUCCGGGGAUAACAGGCUGAUACCGCCCAAGAGUUCAUAUCGACGGCGGUGUUUGGCACCUCGAUGUCGGCUCAUCACAUCCUGGGGCUGAAGUAGGUCCCAAGGGUAUGGCUGUUCGCCAUUUAAAGUGGUACGCGAGCUGGGUUUAGAACGUCGUGAGACAGUUCGGUCCCUAUCUGCCGUGGGCGCUGGAGAACUGAGGGGGGCUGCUCCUAGUACGAGAGGACCGGAGUGGACGCAUCACUGGUGUUCGGGUUGUCAUGCCAAUGGCACUGCCCGGUAGCUAAAUGCGGAAGAGAUAAGUGCUGAAAGCAUCUAAGCACGAAACUUGCCCCGAGAUGAGUUCUCCCUGACCCUUUAAGGGUCCUGAAGGAACGUUGAAGACGACGACGUUGAUAGGCCGGGUGUGUAAGCGCAGCGAUGCGUUGAGCUAACCGGUACUAAUGAACCGUGAGGCUUAACCUU
rnacentral:rRNA from 1 species